rnacentral:rRNA from 1 species
AACGAACGCUGGCGGCAUGCCUAACACAUGCAAGUCGAACGAGACCUUCGGGUCUAGUGGCGCACGGGUGCGUAACGCGUGGGAACCUGCCCUUAGGUUCGGAAUAACUCCCCGAAAGGGGUGCUAAUACCGGAUAAUGUCUUCGGACCAAAGAUUUAUCGCCUUUGGAUGGGCCCGCGUUGGAUUCGCUAGUUGGUAGGGUAAAAGCCUACCAAGGCGACGAUCCAUAGCUGGUCUGAGAGGAUGAUCAGCCACACUGGGACUGAGACACGGCCCAGACUCCUACGGGAGGCAGCAGUGGGGAAUAGUGGACAAUGGGCGAAAGCCUGAUCCAGCAAUGCCGCGUGAGUGAUGAAGGCCUUAGGGUUGUAAAGCUCUUUUACCCGGGAUGAUAAUGACAGUACCGGGAGAAUAAGCGCCGGCUAACUCCGUG